rnacentral:rRNA from 1 species
GUGCCAGCAGCCGCGGUAAUACGUAGGGUGCGAGCGUUAAUCGGAAUUACUGGGCGUAAAGGGUGCGCAGGUGGUUACGUAAGUCUGAUGUGAAAGCCCCGGGCUCAACCUGGGAACUGCAUUGGAGACUGCGUGGCUAGAGUGUGGCAGAGGGGGGUGGAAUUCCGCGUGUAGCAGUGAAAUGCGUAGAGAUGCGGAGGAACACCAAUGGCGAAGGCAGCCCCCUGGGUUAACACUGACACUCAUGCACGAAAGCGUGGGGAGCAAACAGGAUUAGAUACCCUGGUAGUCC